GGCGGCGCCUCUCGUCUCCCGCGGGCCAGCGCUCGCACCACCGCUUCUCCCUCCCUGUCGCAGCCGCGCCGCCGCGCAGCGCCCCAGCCACACGCCGGCGGGCAGAAGCCGCCCGCUCUCCGGAAAGUGAUAACAGAAUUCAUUGAAGUGGAGAAUUUUUAAAGAAGGUAACAAAAAGAGAAAGAAAAUGCCGAAACCAAUCAACGUAAGAGUAACUACAAUGGAUGCUGAGCUGGAAUUUGCCAUUCAGCCCAAUACAACUGGCAAACAACUUUUUGACCAGGUAUUACACUGCAUGAAAUAUGCAACUUUUGACACCAUAGUGUGAAUGUUGUUGCAUACCUCUUUCUCUGUUUUUCUGUACUUUUGCUGAUAAUCCAACAGUGUACCACUUGGAAUUUUUCAUAGUAGCUAUUCAGAUAUCCCUACUACAGCAGUAGGGAUAUUCUUUAUUCUUUCACAUUCCUACAUUUGUGGGAGAGGACUUCUUGAAAAUAAUUUUCAGCAGGUAUUUAUUUAACAUUUAUGAGAAUCAUUGUAAUGGUGACUAAAAGGGAUUCAAGGAUAAUCCACAAAGUUGUUGAGUGAAAUGAGUAGGAAUCCUGGGCAGAAGGAACAGCAGGAGUGAAAGGCAUAGGGAAUUACAGGUUGAGAGCAUCUCUUAUCCAAAAUGCUUGGGACCAGAAGAUUUUGGAUGUUUUUAGAUUUUGGAAUAUUUGCAUAUGUAUAAUGAGAUAUCUUGGGGAUGGGACCCAAGUCUAAACACAAAAUUCAUUUAUGUUUUGUGUACAACUUAUACACAUAGGCUGAAGGUAAUUUUAUAAAAUCCUUUAAAUAAUUUUAUGCAUACUGAGUUUUGACUGCGACCCAUCACGUUAGGUUAGGUGUGGAACUUUCCAUUUGCAGAGUCAUGUUGGUACUGAAGAGGUUUCAGAUUUUGCAGCAUUUAGGAUUUUGGAUUUUUGGAUUAGGGAUGCUCAACCUGUAUAGGCUAUACAGAGAUCCCUAACAACAAUUUGGUGUCAUAGGUUCAUAAUGUAUGAGGCAAAGGUUGGGAUAUGGAGGUCAGGUAUCCGGUAUGUUAAGGAACUGGGACUACUGAUCUUAUCUUUCUUCUCAGUCUUGAGUGCGUAUUAGUCACCUGUGGAGCUUU
rnacentral:lncRNA from 1 species